rnacentral:lncRNA from 1 species
GUGUAUGUUUUUGAGAUAGUUAUGACUUUUAAAAAAGUUAUUAGCAAUAGCUUCACAAGAAACCUGCUAGCAGGGAUAACAAAGUUGUCAGUAAAUUUAAAAUGCUACAAACUUUAAAAAUUACAAGAGUACAUGGAGUUUAUUUUUAUAAGAUCUUUGUGAACUAUUCACAGAAAUGGCCACUUAAUUAUCUUUACAAUGUAACAGAAGAGUGUGACCACUUUAUACUGGGAGUCUAAAAAGAUUAACAGAACAUUCUUAGUUACUGGAUUGGCCAAAUUACUGGAAUAAUGUUUCCUUUUUUUC